rnacentral:rRNA from 1 species
AUGAACGCUGGCGGCGCGCCUAACACAUGCAAGUCGAACGGCACCCCUCUCCGGAGGGAAGCGAGUGGCGAACGGCUGAGUAACACGUGGAGAACCUGCCCCCUCCCCCGGGAUAGCCGCCCGAAAGGACGGGUAAUACCGGAUACCCCGGGGUGCCGCAUGGCACCCCGGCUAAAGCCCCGACGGGAGGGGAUGGCUCCGCGGCCCAUCAGGUAGACGGCGGGGUGACGGCCCACCGUGCCGACAACGGGUAGCCGGGUUGAGAGACCGACCGGCCAGAUUGGGACUGAGACACGGCCCAGACUCCUACGGGAGGCAGCAGUGGGGAAUCUUGCGCAAUGGGGGGAACCCUGACGCAGCGACGCCGCGUGCGGGACGGAGGCCUUCGGGUCGUAAACCGCUUUCAGCAGGGAAGAGUCAAGACUGUACCUGCAGAAGAAGCCCCGGCUAACUACGUGCCAGCAGCCGCGGUAAUACGUAGGGGGCGAGCGUUAUCCGGAUUCAUUGGGCGUAAAGCGCGCGUAGGCGGCCCGGCAGGCCGGGGGUCGAAGCGGGGGGCUCAACCCCCCGAAGCCCCCGGAACCUCCGCGGCUUGGGUCCGGUAGGGGAGGGUGGAACACCCGGUGUAGCGGUGGAAUGCGCAGAUAUCGGGUGGAACACCGGUGGCGAAGGCGGCCCUCUGGGCCGAGACCGACGCUGAGGCGCGAAAGCUGGGGGAGCGAACAGGAUUAGAUACCCUGGUAGUCCCAGCCGUAAACGAUGGACGCUAGGUGUGGGGGGACGAUCCCCCCGUGCCGCAGCCAACGCAUUAAGCGUCCCGCCUGGGGAGUACGGCCGCAAGGCUAAAACUCAAAGGAAUUGACGGGGGCCCGCACAAGCAGCGGAGCAUGUGGCUUAAUUCGAAGCAACGCGAAGAACCUUACCAGGGCUUGACAUAUGGGUGAAGCGGGGGAGACCCCGUGGCCGAGAGGAGCCCAUACAGGUGGUGCAUGGCUGUCGUCAGCUCGUGUCGUGAGAUGUUGGGUUAAGUCCCGCAACGAGCGCAACCCUUAUGGUCAGUUACUACGCAAGAGGACUCUGGCCAGACUGCCGUUGACAAAACGGAGGAAGGUGGGGAUGACGUCAAAUCAUCAUGCCCCUUAUGACCUGGGCUACACACGUACUACAAUGGCGUUAAACAAAGAGAAGCAAGACCGCGAGGUGGAGCAAAACUCAGAAACAACGUCCCAGUUCGGACUGCAGGCUGCAACUCGCCUGCACGAAGUCGGAAUUGCUAGUAAUCGUGGAUCAGCAUGCCACGGUGAAUACGUUCCCGGGCCUUGUACACACCGCCCGUCACACCAUGAGAGCCGGGGGGACCCGAAGUCGGUAGUCUAACCGCAAGGAGGACGCCGCCGAAGGUAAAACUGGUGAUUGGGGUG